CACGAUGUCUAGGGGAUCUGAGAGGAUGACCCCCCACACUGGUACUGAGACACGGACCAGACUCCUACGGGAGGCAGCAGUAAGGAAUAUUGGUCAAUGGGCGCAAGCCUGAACCAGCCAUGCCGCGUGCAGGAAGACGGCCCUACGGGUUGUAAACUGCUUUUGCAGGGGAAUAAACCUCAUUACGUGUAAUGAGCUGAAUGUACUCUGAGAAUAAGGAUCGGCUAACUCCGUGCCAGCAGCCGCGGUAAUACGGAGGAUCCAAGCGUUAUCCGGAUUUAUUGGGUUUAAAGGGUGCGUAGGCGGCCUAUUAAGUCAGGGGUGAAAGACGGUAGCUUAACUAUCGCAGUGCCUUUGAUACUGAUGGGCUUGAAUACACUAGAGGUAGGCGGAAUGUGACAAGUAGCGGUGAAAUGCAUAGAUAUGUCACAGAACACCAAUUGCGAAGGCAGCUUACUAUGGUGUGAUUGACGCUGAGGCACGAAAGCGUGGGGAUCAAACAGGAUUAGAUACCCUGGUAGUCCACGCCCUAAACGAUGAACACUCGAUGUUAGCGAUAUACAGUUAGCGUCUAAGCGAAAGCGUUAAGUGUUCCACCUGGGGAGUACGCCCGCAAGGGUGAAACUCAAAGGAAUUGACGGGGGCCCGCACAAGCGGAGGAGAAUGUGGUUUAAUUCGAUGAUACGCGAGGAACCUUAACCGGGCUUGAAAGUUAGUGAAUGAUUCAGAGACGGAUCAGUCCUUCGGGACACGAAACUAGGUGCUGCAUGGCUGUCGUCAGCUCGUGCCGUGAGGUGUUGGGUUAAGUCCCGCAACGAGCGCAACCCCUAUGUUUAGUUGCCAGCACGUUAAGGUGGGGACUCUAAACAGACUGCCUAUGCAAAUAGAGAGGAAGGAGGGGACGACGUCAAGUCAUCAUGGCCCUUACGUCCGGGGCUACACACGUGCUACAAUGGACAGUACAGAGGGCAGCUACCUGGCAACAGGAUGCCAAUCUCACAAAGCUGUUCACAGUUCGGAUCGGGGUCUGCAACUCGACCCCGUGAAGUUGGAUUCGCUAGUAUCGCGUAUCAGCAAUGACGCGGUGAAUACGUUCCCGGGCCUUGUACACACCGCCCGUCAAGCCAUGGAAGCUGGAAGUACCUGAAGUGCGUAACCGCAAGGAGCGUCCUAGGGUAAAGUCGGUAACUGGGGCUAAGUCGAAACAAGGUA
rnacentral:rRNA from 1 species